rnacentral:rRNA from 1 species
AAUGAACGCUGGCGGCGUGCCUAACACAUGCAAGUCGUACGAGAAAUCUUCCGCUUGCGGAAGAGAGUAAAGUGGCGCACGGGUGAGUAACGCGUGGGUAACCUGCCCCUGAAUUUGGGAUAACUCCGCGAAAGCGGGGCUAAUACCGAAUAAGACCACGACCGCUUCGGCGGCAGAGGUAAAAGCUGACCUCUCCAUGGAAGUUAGCGUUUGGGGACGGGCCCGCGUCCUAUCAGCUUGUUGGUAGGGUAACGGCCUACCAAGGCAGCGACGGGUAGCUGGUCUGAGAGGAUGAUCAGCCACACUGGAACUGGAACACGGUCCAGACUCCUACGGGAGGCAGCAGUGAGGAAUUUUGCGCAAUGGGGGAAACCCUGACGCAGCAACGCCGCGUGGGUGAAGAAGGCUUUCGAGUCGUAAAGCCCUGUCAGGUGGGAAGAAACUCUUCAGCACUAAUAAUGCUGAAGCUUGACGGUACCACCAGAGGAAGCACCGGCCAACUCCGUG